UACGAAGGGGGCUAGCGUUGCUCGGAAUCACUGGGCGUAAAGGGUGCGUAGGCGGGUCUUUUAAGUCAGGGGUGAAAUCCUGGAGCUCAACUCCAGAACUGCCUUUGAUACUGAGGAUCUUGAGUUCGGGAGAGGUGAGUGGAACUGCGAGUGUAGAGGUGAAAUUCGUAGAUAUUCGCAAGAACACCAGUGACGAAGGCGGCUCACUGGCCCGAUACUGACGCUGAGGCACGAAAGCGUGGGGAGCAAACAGG
rnacentral:rRNA from 1 species